UACGGAGGAUGCAAGCGUUAUCCGGAAUGAUUGGGCGUAAAGCGUCCGCAGGUGGCAAUGUAAGUCUGCUGUUAAAGCGUCUAGCUCAACUAGAUAAGAGCAGUGGAAACUACAUAGCUAGAGUACGUUCGGGGCAGAGGGAAUUCCUGGUGUAGCGGUGGAAUGCGCAGAUAUCAGGAAGAACACCAGUGGCGAAGGCGCUCUGCUAGGCCGUAACUGACACUGAGGGACGAAAGCUAGGGGAGCGAAUGGG
rnacentral:rRNA from 1 species